rnacentral:rRNA from 1 species
UACGUAGGGUGCAAGCGUUGUCCGGAAUUAUUGGGCGUAAAGAGCUCGUAGGCGGUCUGUCGCGUCUGCUGUGAAAACUCAGGGCUUAACCCCUGAGCUUGCAGUGGGUACGGGCAGACUAGAGUGCGGUAGGGGGAGACUGGAAUUCCUGGUGUAGCGGUGAAAUGCGCAGAUAUCAGGAGGAACACCCGGUGGGCGAAAGGCGGG